rnacentral:piRNA from 1 species
CUUGUUUAUAUCUCCCCCGAACCCUG